UACAGAGGGUGCGAGCGUUAAUCGGAGUUACUGGGCGUAAAGGGCGCGUAGGCGGAUAUUUAAGUGAGAUGUGAAAUCCCUGGGCUUAACCUAGGAACUGCAACUCAUACUGGGUAUCUGGAGUAUUGUAGAGGGUAGUGGAAUUUCCGGUGUAGCGGUGAAAUGCGUAGAGAUCGGAAGGAACACCAGUGGCGAAGGCGGCUACCUGGACAAAUACUGACGCUGAGGCGCGAAAGCGUGGGGAGCAAACAGG
rnacentral:rRNA from 1 species